CAGACAGCAACGUGUUGUGUGCAAGCCUUCGCCUCUUUCCAUCGGCGCUUUGCCUCCUUCCCACAUCGUCGCCAUCGGCGCCUCUUCCCACCGGCCACCGGCGCCACUUACCCCUCGAUCUACCGCGCUUCUAUGGGACUUUGUCUCAGCUCCCCCUCGAUCUACCGAGCCUUCGCGUCUCUGCCGCCACUAGUCUUCCCGGUUCCUGCCGCCUCACCGAUCGUCACCAUCACCACCAGCCCCCGCCUCUGCCUCACCGGUCGUCCCCAUUGCAGCUACCCUUCCCCUUCGGCUUUAAUUAGAGAAAUUCUCACCAGUCCCUUGGGAGACGAUUUUGCUUACCGUAGUCUGCGCAGUGUGGGCAUACCGGCUAACUGCCGAAUAUUUUUGGUGUAAAACGACGCAUCAAGAAGCAAAACAGUGGAAGCUAUAAAGGCUAUCCAACGUCCCAGUCCGCCUCUGCCACCACUCACUGUUGAUCCAACUCAACCACUACUGAAGCAAGGAGAUCCCGGUAGCUUCAUUUUUUGUAUUGGUCUGGGUGGACUUGAGGAGGUCUUAGGUAUGCUUGAUUUGGGUGCGGUAGUCAACUUGAUGCCACUCGACAUUUUUGAGAAGCUGGGCAGGAAGGAAGACGAGCUGAAGUGCACUGAUAUGAGAAUGGAGCUAGCUAACGGUUCUAUCAGCAGUCCACAAGGACUUGUGGAGGAUGUCGAAGUCACGGUGAGAGGAAUUAGAGUGCUAGUGGAUUUUGUGGUGCUUGAUGCAGGUAAAGGAAUUAGAGGAGAGAAUGGUCAUCUCGUUCUGCUUGGCCGGCCUUUUAUGGCUACCACCCACACUCGCAUUGACGUGGGAUCGGGAACUUUAAGUAUGGCAGGGUCAGGUAGAUCGGUAACAUUCUCAGUUUUUUAUAAGAAAAUCCACUACUCUUAAUCCUUCAUUGGUAAAUUGCUCUUACGUUAAGAGAAUUGACGUUGCGGAUGAGGAUCAUAUUGUGCAGGAAUUUCUUGACAACUUGCAGAAGAAAGAUGAUAUUAUGCAGGGGGAGGACGACAUUGUGCAGGAGUUUCUUGCUAACUCACAAGAUGAGGUGGCCAUUGAAGAAGAGUCGUUGGACAAGCUGCCAUACGAAUAUGAUAUAGUGCAAGAAUUCCUAGCUAACCUGUAAGAGGAGGCAGUCAUUGAAGAAGAAUUUCUGGACAUGCUGCAACGCAAGGAUGAUGUAGUGCAAGGGUUGCAGUGUGUACUGCCUUUAGAGGAAAAGAAAAAUGGGAGUUUUCAAUCUGGCUCCCGAAGAAGAGUUGUAAGGCACUUAAGCAGCUGACGCUUCAAUCGGACUUCGGUUAAGGGGCCUCUUAGUCGGGCUGGCGACUUAAAAACUAGCGCUGCAUGGGAGGCAACCCAUGUUUUCUUGCUUUUUCUUAUUUUUGUUUUUCUUUGGGUUUAUGUUUUUGUUGCUUCUGUUGUUUGGUGCAGGUUGGUGCGUUGGGGAUUGUUUGUUUUAUGGAUGAGAUAUAGGCAGACAUCGUGGGAUGCUACGAGCUCACCACUUGGAUCGGUAUUCAGGGUUCUCGGGCAUUUCGGGAAGUGAGGGAGGCAUUUUUGAAGACUUUUGGAGCCGGCCACCGCCGCCUCACGCCGCCCGCCUGCUUUCAAUUUGUAACAUCCUGCGAAUGGGGUAGGCGGCGGCGCCGUGGGGCGGCCGCCGCCACCCACGUAAAUUCGGCAGUUACGGAUUUUGGGUAUAAAACUCAUUUUUAGGGUUUUCUUCAUCAUUCUCGACCCAGCCAGUCCCCAACUACGUUUUUACUGUAUUUUCUUAGAGUUUUGGUAGAGAGAAACACAUUAGAAACUCUCGGAUUACGCUAGAUCGUCAUUUCCUUUAAUCAAUUGUAAGUUCUAUCUAUUGAUUUACAGAAUUCUACAAGCUUUCUUGGUUGUUCUUUUC